rnacentral:rRNA from 1 species
CACGUAGGAGGCGAGCGUUGUCCGGAAUCAUUGGGCGUAAAGAGCGCGCAGGCGGCUUGGCAAGUCGGGUGUGAAAUCCCGGGGCUCAACCCCGUGACUGCAUCCGAUACCGUCAGGCUAGAGGUAGGUAGGGGAGAUCGGAAUUCCUGGUGUAGCGGUGAAAUGCGCAGAUAUCAGGAGGAACACCGGUGGCGAAGGCGGAUCUCUGGGCCUUACCUGACGCUCAGGCGCGAAAGCUAGGGGAGCGAACAGG